rnacentral:rRNA from 1 species
UACGUAGGGGACCGAGCGUUGUUCCGGAAUUAUUGGGACGUAAAGCGCGCGCAGGCGGCCUUUUAAGUCUGAAUGUGAAAGCCCACGGCUCAACCGUGGAAGGUCAUUGGAAACUGAGAGGCUUGAGUACGAGAAGAGGAAAGCGGAAGUUCCAACGUGUAGCGGUGAAAUGCGUAGAAGAUGUGGAGGAACACCAGUGGCGAAGGCGCUUUCUGGUCUGUAACUGGACGCUGAGGCGACGAAAGCGUGGG